ensembl:lncRNA
CACAAAGUGUAGUUCUAAAAUGCAAUGGCUAAAAGCUGUGUUUUCAAUUUAAAGUGAGAGCUGGGAGCAUGUGAAGAAUAAAUGAAAUUGUGAGAUUAAGCAAGACUGUGGGAUAAAUACUCUGGUUCAGAUAUAAAGGCUUUAGUGACAAUGUCAGAUGCCUGAGGGUGAGAGUGAAGGACAGAAAAGAUCAGGGUUAUAAAUAGUUUACAUAAAUUGAAGAAAUAGGUCUAAGAAUUCCAGAAGAGUAUAAGGAUGAAAUAGCAAAGAGUACAAAAAAGCCAGUGAGUAGAACAGAUGGGGAACUGAGAUUUGAGGACUGAAACAGCCAAGAUAAUAAGCAACCAACAACCACAAAGUUGGAGAAGAAAUCAUUGAGGGCAGGGAAGACAAUUGGAGCUGGAGGCUUGAAAGGCAGGAGCAAGACAGAAGAAAAUGGAAGAGAGAUGUUUUGAAGUAUAGUGAAAUCACGCAGCGCAACAUUUACUAUUUGAAAACUAAAGAUGAGUACAGACCAAAGUCAUGAGUAUUGCUUUGAAGUGCCCAAAUGUUAGAAAAGACCAGCAAGUUUCAGAAUAAGCUCAUAUCUGACCUGAUUACUCGAAACCAAUGCUGUCUUUAUAAAAUAGGAAAAACAAAAUUGCACUUUGAAGCAAUCCUGAACUCAGUGUGCUUUGGCCCAAAUAUUGAUGAUGUAAGAAUUCUCCUUUUAAAAAAAAAUAAAGAAUUGUACCUUCAGCAGCUUUACAAACGCAGCUGUUGGGCAUAGGCUUCAAUUAUAUGUAAGUCAGUAUAUUGGUACCAGCUUGUGAAAAGAUCGUUAUAGGAUUCCUUUUUUUCCUUUUUUCCCUUCAAGGUCUUUUAGUUAACAGGAAAACCCAAGUGAACUGGUACUUCCAUCUCAGAUUGAAAUCAGCUGAAUAAAAGUUUUCUUUCCAAGAUUUCCUGGCAUGAUGGAAGAGAAAAAUCUUGCAAUCUCUGAAUCUUACGUAAGGAUACACUGAGUGAGACCAUUGUCCUUCAAAAUUUUCUGGAGAUGAAGUCUUCUGGAGGAAAGCUCUGGGAAAUGUCUAUCCUUCCUGAAUGAGUACUGGCUCCACCUUCGGCUUUCAGCAGUCUGUCAGCCUGUUUGUGGGAAACAAAAAGAAGAGGAAGAUGGUGACGAAAACACAACUACUCACCAGUGGCUAGCCCAUUCACAG